GCAGUACGUAACUACAACACGAAAAAAGACCUCAACUUUUUGCACAAACUACAACUUCAACAAAUGAACGACUGUUAAUACUAAGAAUCCAACUUAUUAUAAAACCUUUCAUACAGUAAGUACAACAAUAAAAAGACUCCAACUUUUUCAACAAACUACAAGUACUCGAAAAGAACUAUCAAAGUGUUUGCUAAACAUUUCCU
rnacentral:lncRNA from 1 species